rnacentral:rRNA from 1 species
AGAGUUUGAUCCUGGCUCAGGACGAACGCUGGCGGCGUGCCUAAUACAUGCAAGUCGAGCGGAGGUUCUUCUUCGGAAGAGCUUCAGCGGCGGACGGGUGAGUAACACGUGAGUAACCUGGCUUAGGGCGGGGGAUAUCGGACCGAAAGGGCCGGCAAUCCCGCAUACGUCCGCGUCGGCUUGAGCCGAGGCGGAGAAAGAGACACUGUCUCACCCUAAGGGGGGCUCGCGGCCCAUUAGCUAGUUGGUAGGGUAAUAGCCUCCCAAGGCGACGAUGGGUAGCCGGCCUGAGAGGGUGAUCGGCCACACUGGGACUGAGACACGGCCCAGACUCCUACGGGAGGCAGCAGUAGGGAAUCUUCCACAAUGGGCGCAAGCCUGAUGGAGCAACGCCGCGUGAGUGAAGACGGCCUUCGGGUUGUAAAGCUCUGUCUGUCGGGAUGAAGCGGCACGGGGAGACCGUGCCGUCGCCGGUACCGACGGAGGAAGCCCCUGCAAACUACGUGCCAGCAGCCGCGGUAAGACGUAGGGGGCAAGCGUUGUCCGGAAUUACUGGGCGUAAAGGGCGUGUAGGCGGUACGACACGUAGCGGGUUUUAAGCCUCCGGCUCACCCGGGAGGAGGGCGGCUAAACGGUCGCACUGGAGGGCAGGAGAAGUACAUGGGAAAUUCCCUAGUGGAGCGGUGAAAUGCGUAGAGAUUAGGGAAGAACACCAGUGGCGAAGGCGAUGCACUGGGCCUGACCCUGACGCUGAGGCGCGACAGCGGUGGAGUGAAACGGCAUUAGAAUACCCCGGUAGUCCACGCCGGUAAACGAUGCGCUUACUUAGGUGUCGCGGGGGGAUCCACUCGGGGGUGGCCGAGCCUAACGCACUAGGUUAAUCU